ACGCACGCUGGCGGCGCGCCUCACACCUGCAAGUCGAACGGAGUCAAGAGGAGCUUGCUUUUCUUGACUUAGUGGCGAACGGGUGAGUAACGCGUGAGUAACCUGCCCUGGAGUGGGGGACAACAGUUGGAAACGACUGCUAAUACCGCAUAAGCCCACGGAUCUGCAUGGAUCUGCGGGAAAAGGAUUUAUUCGCUCUAGGAUGGACUCGCGUCCAAUUAGCUAGUUGGUGAGGUAACGGCCCGCCAAGGCGACGAUUGGUAGCCGGACUGAGAGGUUGAACGGCCACAUUGGGACUGAGACACGGCCCAGACUCCUACGGGAGGCAGCAGUGGGGGAUAUUGCACAAUGGGGGAAACCCUGAUGCAGCGACGCCGCGUGGAGGAAGAAGGUUUUCGGAUUGUAAACUCCUGUCGUUAGGGACGAUAAUGACGGUACCUAACAAGAAAGCACCAGCUAACUACGUG
rnacentral:rRNA from 1 species